GUGAAUCAUCAAAUCUUUGAACGCAAAUUGCGCUUUCUGGUAUUCCGGAAAGUAUGCCUGUUUGAGGGUCAGUUAAAUAAAAAUCGGUAUUGUUUCUGCCUUUCGUGGUUGCGCGCCGGAAGUGGGUUGUGUUACCUUCGGUUAAGUGACUGGAAAUUUUGCGUGAUUGUCGAUCGUAUUUCAAUUUCUUACUUACGUUUGAGAUAUCGAAUGCUUUAUGAAGUUCGGUCAUACUCAUGAUUCGCACCUAUAAUUUUUCAUUAAAUGGCCUCAAAUCAGGUAAUAAUAC
rnacentral:misc_RNA from 1 species